rnacentral:tRNA from 1 species
UGUGCUUUAGUAUAUGAUGUAUAUAAGUUUUUGAUACUUAGGGAGGCGGUUUAACCCCGCCAGGCGCAA